rnacentral:sRNA from 1 species
CCCGUAUAGUGUCAUCGACCGCACCACC